AUAUCCCUCAGAACUGGUUACAAUCACUAUACUACAACAUUUGUCUUAGGAGCCUUGAAAACUCUUAACAUCAAGAGACAUGGAACCGAGAAGAUGAGCCACAUGAUAGCUUUGGUACUAACUCAGAACAUGAGGAGGAAGCCAUAAGUGAGGCUGGAAGAAAUGUUACACUUGUCUUGGCUGAAGAGGGAGAAGUUGAAAGUGAGGCCGGAAGAAAUGUUACUGAGCUUGAAGCACACUCCACAUACUUUUCAGGUUAUGGCCAAAGAGGUGAAAGUUACCUAAAGCGGGAGGAGGAAAUGGAAACCUUGUUCCAGAGUCACCAUGUUCAAGAAGAGGUGAAGCUGUCAUAUGCCACCAAGACACUCACUGGACCUGCUCUAGCAUGGUGGGAAAAAGAGCAGUUUGCUCAAUGGUGCUACAGAGAACCGGAUCUUACUUGGGAGAGUUUCAAAUCAGUGAUUCUUGAAGAGUUUGUGAAACAAGAUCCAGAUACAUCCCGUAUGUGUGCUGAUCAUGCAGUCUAUGCUCUCAGCAACCCUACAAUCUUUAAAGCUGGAAGCAAGCAAGCUAAUCAUCAUCACAGCCCACAAAAGAUGGAACCGGAUGUAGAGAAGAAAACUGUCAAGAAGCAAGAGGGUUCACAGCUAAGUUCACUCCAGUUGACAAAGGUGCCAGACACAUUCUCAUAUCCAAAAGGAGCUUUACAACCAGAGAGAAAGAAGGCUGUAGUUGUUCUUAAGAGUGGGGACCCCAAACUGAAGAUGAAGCUAUGGUACAAAGUUUGCAAAAGCCACAAGCAUCAUCAAAUCAAAGUAAGCCCUCUAAUUCUAAAAAUAUUAAAAAUCAGACAUGUUAUAUAUGUCAUAAGAGGGGACACUUUGCUGUAAAUUGUCUAUCUAUAAAGUUAUUAGGAUGCACAUCACUAGAGUUGAAACCAGAGCCAAGUAAAACAAGUGAUAGUCUUGUUCCUUUAGAACUUUCAAAUUCUGGAUUUAUGCACUUGUCUUUGCCAAAGAGUUUUGACCCAGGUAUAAAGCAAGAAGAUGAACUACCAAACAAUACUGAGAGGUUUAAAGAGAACCAGGGACAGCUCCUGACUUGUCCACAAAACGUUGAAGAAGUUACAAGAAACAAUGAGAGCACACAAGCUGCCAAAGAGCAAAUCAUUCUUCAACUUGCUGAAAAUAUUUGGGUAAAUCUGAAUUUAAAUUUUUCUAUUUAUAAAUUUUCAAACUCAUAUAUAAUGCACUUGUUUCUUGGCAAAAGUGUUGAAUUUAUUUCAGGAACAGAUACUAAAGAUCAUAUGGAUGAUCCCCACAAGGAGAGUACAAGGUGUUUACAUGCCAAGCGAAAACAAGAAAUUGUCAACAGCCACACCUUGAUUCCAUACGACCCAGGAGAUCAAGAACCACCCAUCAGAGUGUCAAACCAAAACAGAGGAGUAGUUCUGUCGUUCCUACUCAAAGGAGAACCACCAGAUGUGCCAUCAGAGAUCAAACCAAUCAAAUACCAAGGUAAGGCCCUAGAAUCUCAAAGGAGGAUGAAACCUGACUUGCUCUAUCUUGAUGCAGGUUAUCCAGUUUUGAGGUUGAAAAUUUUUCAAGGGAGAGGGUAUGGUGCGGCCAUCAAAUCAGUAGCUGAACCAGGAGCCAACCAGUUGCACCAAUCAGCUAACCAAAGGACCAACCAAGAUAUGUUCUCAGUCAAAAUGGCGUAUAUUACUAACCAGGAGGAAUUUUUCCAUGAAAUUAAUUUUCAUGCAUUCUACACUCAACAAGGAGUCAACCAAAAUUGGAAUCAUCUUCAAAGCCUCUCGGAGCAGGAAGAUAUGAAUUUUACAAACUGGAGGUUAUCCAGCCCGUCCAUCUGCGAGUAUCAGAGUUUAGAAGUUGUUUCAAGCCCAAUGAAGAAGAUUUCCGACCCAAACCAAAGCAUGGACUUCAAGAUGGAACUCUUAGAUUUUAAACAAGCCAAGAAUGAGGAGAAAAGUCCAUGGAAAUAUGGAGUUAUGGCCCAUUUCCCAAACCGGAUCAAACCAGUGCUUCACCUGCCUUAUUUGGAAACUCAUGGGUUUAAUCAAUUGCAAACCAGACAUUGGCGACCAGGAGAGACAUCUAACCAUUCAGGAGACCAAUCCAAACAUCCAGGAGAGUCAGAGACGUUCUUACAAUGCACCAGCAUCCAUCAGAUUAUUCAGAAUCAAUCAAGACCAUACUUGCCAUUUCUGGAGUCAAAAACCAUCAAUUCUCAACAGCUCUUUUCCCAUCAAGAUUGGCACGAUUUCUAUCCAUAUUUCUGAAGUAAAGAAGUUCCCAAGAAGCUCACUUACAGCCUUAAACCGUCCAGAUACAAAGCCAUCAUCUCAGCCCUUGAAUCAAGCCAUUGGAGCCCCAAAAAUCCUCCAACACAGCUAGUUUUUCUUUAUGUUUGAUUUUAUUUCCUUUCUUUUGUUAUUCUGAGCAAGGGCCACGACCUAUAUAAGCUCACUCCAAUGCUUUGUAAAAAUCACCUUUCAAGAAAUAAAUCAGUUUACUUUGUUUUUAUCAAAGAGAGUCUUUGAAUAAAAAUCUGUCUUUAGAAUACUUUGAGUGAUUCUUGUGUUCCUAUUGAUUCGUUUAGCAUAGGUUGUUGUGUGAUUCAUCAGCCAGUGUUAUUCCAGAUUGAGAGAGUCAAUCAAACCCACGGAUUGAGAGAGUCAAUCAGCAUCUAUCCAACAUCAUCUAUCCAUCUUCCAUCAUCAUACAUCUAUCCAUCAACCAUUCUCUCCUUUAUCCCUUUUAGUUUUUUUUCUUAUUUCAUAUUGUUUUUGUUUCUGUUUUAUUCAUAUAAAAACAAUAAAAUCUCAUAAAAAUCUUCAUCUUAUUUCAGGUACAAAUCGCAAGCACCAGAAACCAUCCACGCCUGGUCAUAAUCUAUACCGGAUCAUCCCAAAAACCAACUUCAGUCAAGCCACAGUACAGUGCUGAAUCCCAGCCUGUAACAUAGCGACCGAGCUUCGGCUUGAGCUCGGUCGCUACGUAGAGACUGAGCCGUAUGCGUGCUCGGUCGCUACGUAGCGACCGAGCCGUGUGCGUGCUCGAUCGCUACGUAUCGACCGAGCUUGUUUGUGCGUGGUCCGAUUGCCAUACUCGAGCUUGUCCGUGGCCGGUUUGGAUACGUGUCCGUUUCCUUGUGACAAUCGAUAUUUGGUUUGAUCGAGAUUAGAAAAAGAUUUUACCGCAAGGCUCUUUGUAAAGAUAUUUUUUACGAAGAAUCACUUUCAUAGAAAAUGCUCAUGCUGAUUUUUGCGGAGAUUUGGACAUUAACUUCAUCGUAACCGUUUUCGACCCCAACAGUUAGCCCCCCAGCCUGUUAGAAUUGUGGAUUUCCAAUGAGAUACUAUCUUGCGGUAUGGUGAGUUUAGCCAAGUUGGCGUAUUUGGGCGAAGUUUAUAUCCAAAAGUCCGCGGGAAAAUAGUAACUUCCUAUGCCUAAAAGAAGGAAGGUAACUUCUUCAUAAUUUUUCACUUGCUUAUUCUCAGAAGAAGUUUUUUUUUUGAAAAAAUUUCCCUCUUCCUCUUUCUCUCUUUCUUCUUGUUUUCUUGAAUUUUACAAGAUGUCUAGCAAAAAGAAGCUUCGAAAAGAGGUACCUCUCGCGGUUCUUCGUUCGAAGAUGUUCAUGACGAGAUUCUUGUUCCGGAGGUCGAGUUCGUGCCUCACUCGAUAGAUCCAGCCGAAAAUGCGGCAUGGUGGACAGCGAUAUAUGGUUCGAUUACUCCUCCUAUCGAGAAGUCGUUCCCUGUCAUGAGCCAUCGUUCGGUCUACCCUCGUGUUUCAAUCCUCCCUCAUCGGUGGAUGAAAUGGGAAGGUCUAAGAUAGUCGCGGAAGGAUCUCGUAUAAUCAAUGGGGGUCUGAAAUUGCUUGGCUCAGCUCUUGAGGCGAGCCAUAGGGAGUCCAUGGUCUAUCGCUUCAAGGCGGAGAAAGCGGAAAAGGACCUUCCUCGUAUGCAAAACGAGGUUUUGGAGCGAGAUUCGAAACUCGCCAGGGACCACGAGAAGGCUGUUCGUCGCGUGGAAAGGAAGGGUAGGAGAGAGAUCGUCGGAGUGAUGAGGAACCGUGCCUCUCAGUUCAAAACUGAGUAUGGAAACCUCAAGGAUGCUUAUUCCUUGGUGGGCGAUUUUCGCGAGUGUCGCGGCUCAGUUGGCACCCUUUGGAAGACGCAGGCGGACGACUUCGUUUUCGAGGAGGAGAUGAGGGACAUGAAAGAUGGCAUGAAGGACCAUGCCCACGCUGAGGCGCUUAUUCCCCCGAUCGAUGCAAAGAUCCAGGGAUUCUGGGAUCCCAUCCCGGUUUCUCCUGAUAUGGAGGAGGUCGCGACUGAGGUUGCUGGUGACGAUGAGGAAGUGAACUAUCCCGCGGAUGCAUUCAGAGCUUCCUUGUCUGGAAAUUUUAACUUUGAUUUGUGAGUAUCGAAGUCGGUGUUUGUCGGGGAGCGAUUUUCCCUUAUCUUGUGUUUAUGGCCGCGUGGCCUUUAUUAUCUGUAUCUAGCCGAGUGUGGCCUUUAUGCUGAGACUUUGUGUGGGCCAUUUGGCCAUUUUUUAUCGGGACUGGUCGUUGGUGGCUUUGAAUCCCUACCACUCUGCGAUUUUAUAUAUAUGAUGAAUAUUUAUUGAAGUA